CAAUAGCAUAUAUUAAAAUUGUUGCAGUUAAAAAGCUUGUAGUUGGAUCCCAGGUCCGGGCCUGUGGUCCGCCUCGCGGCGGUCACUGCUUGAUCCCGACCCAACCGCCGGUCUUCCUUUGGUGCUCUUCGCUGAGUGUCUCGGGUAUCCGGAACGUUUACUUUGAAAAAAUUAGAGUGUUCAAAGCAGGCUACGCACCUGAAUGGUUUUCGGAACGCGAGGUAAUGAUUAAGAGGGACAGACGGGGGCAUUCGUAUUGCGGUGUUAGAGGUGAAAUUCUUGGAUCACCGCAAGAUGGACGACUGCGAAAGCAUUUGCCAAGAAUGUUUUCAUUAGUCAAGAAUGAAAGUCAGAGGUUCGAAGACGAUCAGAUACCAU
rnacentral:rRNA from 1 species